UUCCUCAGGCAAAUUAAUCAGGUGUCUGUUUAAACUCUGGUAAAUAUCUAGUAGGAGUCAAAAACUCGGACUGUUUGGUAUAUAAAUAUAAAUGUGAAAAUAUUUGUUAUCUCUUUCUGCUGUUUAAUUUAUUUAAAGAUAGGGCGGACCUGCAGCUGCUGAGACACCUUUUUCUCAGUCCUUUGUUCUCCGUCAGAGAGGGAAUAAGCCCACUUAGAUGAUAAAAAUUCCUCUGUUUGUAUAAAUGAAGGUUUCAGUUUGCUCUGAUUUGUGAAUUUACUGUAUUAAAUUGAAUUUUAAAGUUCUAAGGUUGAUUUAAAAGUAUCCAUUUAUAACAUUUCAAAGAACAAAGGAACUUUUAUUUACAGCUUCCUUAUCUCUUUUGGUGCUUGGAGACUCCCAGCUAACAACUUCACAGGGCGGAAAGAUUUACAGGCCUGUGACAUCAUAGUCCAACGUGGAACUAAGGCUGAAGUUACUAUUAACUCUUUAUAGACCCCGUUAACCGUUUGUUUAACUUACUGUUUUCAGUUAUUAGGAUCCUCAGAGAGGACAUAACCUGGACUUUCCCUUCCUCUCUCAUCCUGAUUCUAAUAGCAUCUGUAACUGGAUUAAAAAUCUUUUCUUUCAGGAGGCCAUCCAGGCUUUAAGCUCACAAGAAAUCUUCUCCUGCGAGAGGAGAGAGGGACCCCCCGGAAGGGGCUGGAGGCUCUCCCUCUCAACAGGGACAGGAAGAAACUGAAAGCUGGAAUUCAUAACCAUUCCCUUACUCAAGUCCUUACAGGCUGUGCAGUAUACCCAGAAAGCCACCCAUAAGCUUGUUCCUGUACAACCCUUCCAGCCCAAGGACUCGGUAUAGGUAAAGAAGUUCACUGCCCAAGGACUCACCCCAACCUGGAAGGGAUGCUACACUGUUAUCCUGAGCACGCCCACGGCUGUUGAAGUAGACGGCGUCCAGACCUGGCUACACCACUCCCAGCUCCUGCACCAGGAAACGGCCUAGAUCCUGGCAGCCAGCGGCCUCACCCGUGAGAUCCCUAGCCUGGGCUCCACGCAGGCCAGGAGGAAACUCAACACCUGCAGGAGAAGAACUGGAAUUCACUGUGGACAGUACUGUUGGGGACUGUAGUACUAAAGGCCUUAACCAGAAGUAAAAGACAAAGUAAAAAUACAAACCGUCUCAUGAUUGAGCCGGGUGUCCCAAGACAAGGGGGGAAUGAAAGGGCAGAGCAGGACAGCACAAAAUGUACUGUACCCUCCACCCUGUGUAACUAUGUAUAUAACUCCUUUUUCUUAGAAAACCGCGAGAAUGUAACAAUUGCAUGAACCUGCCAAUAGGAAUGUAGAGAGAUGGACUCAGUCCACCUUAAGCAAGCUACCCAGUGUGCCUUUGUGUAACUGGACCCCUCACCCUACCCCUGACCAAUCAUAAACACUCUCCCUGCCCACUGCUUGAGACCCCCUUAAAGCCUUUGUGUUGGCGAGAGAAUUUCUCUUGGUCCCCGGUGAGCGCUGGAGAUGAGAGCUCGUGCUAGCACGAAUAAAGGUUCUCUUGCAGUUA